GUGCCAUUAACUCAACAGGUAGAGUCUCCAGCUCAUAACUGGAUAGUCCAAGGUUCGACUCCUUGAUGGCGCACCA
rnacentral:tRNA from 1 species